GGCAUUAGAGUUUGAUCCUGGCUCAGGAUGAACGCUAGCGGCAGGCCUAACACAUGCAAGUCGAGGGGCAGCACGAAUGAUAGCAAUAUUAUUUGGUGGCGACCGGCGCACGGGUGCGUAACACGUAUGUAAUCUGCCUUGUACUGGGGCAUAACUCAGAGAAAUCUGUGCUAAUUCCCCAUAAUAUUAUGAAGUGGCAUCACUUUAUAAUUAAAGUUUCGACGGUACAAGAUGAACAUGCGUCCAAUUAGCUAGUUGGUGAGGUAACGGCUCACCAAGGCUACGAUUGGUAGGGGUUCUGAGAGGAUGAUCCCCCACACUGGUACUGAGACACGGACCAGACUCCUACGGGAGGCAGCAGUGAGGAAUAUUGCGCAAUGGACGAAAGUCUGACGCAGCCAUGCCGCGUGCAGGAUUGAAGGCCCUAUGGGUUGUAAACUGCUUUUGUAUAGGAAAAAACCCCUUUACGUGUAGAGGGCUGAUGGUACUAUAAGAAUAAGCACCGGCUAACUCCGUGCCAGCAGCCGCGGUAAUACGGAGGGUGCAAGCGUUAUCCGGAUUUAUUGGGUUUAAAGGGUCCGCAAGCGGACCGUUAAGUCAGUGGUGAAAACCCACAGCUCAACUGUGGAAUUGCCAUUGAUACUGGCGGUCUUGAGUAUGUAUGAAGUUGGCGGAAUGUGUGGUGUAGCGGUGAAAUGCUUAAAUAUCCAACAAACACCGAUUGCGAAAGGCGCUUGACUAAUACCCACUGACGCUCAGGGACAAAGUGUGGGGAUCAAACAGGAUUAAAUCCCCGUGUAUCCACACCGAAAACAAGAUCCCUAAAUUUUGU
rnacentral:rRNA from 1 species